CUUUUCCUUUCUUUUUUUUUCUCUCUCUUCCCCUUUCCUUCAUCUUCCAGCUACCAGACCCCUCAUCUGCACCUCUCUCUCGUGCCUCUCCCUCUCUGCAACCCACACCUCAGCCUAACCGUCGCCAGAUCUUGUUCAUCGUAUCUGAAGCCAGAUCUAAUGCCAUUCGUCAGAUCUACAGGCUAGAUCUGAAUUCAUUCGCUACAGCUCUGUUCGUUUCCGCGUCGUCGCUCGACUGAAGAUCUGAAGCCAUUCACCGGAUCUGAAGUCGUUCACCGUAGCUCUGUUCCUUCGAGUUACGUUCAAUCGACCAUCCAACGACCGCUUCUCAGAUCUGGCUGACGCCCGUCAAUCUUUUCGUUGUCGGACGCUGCCGCUUGGGUUUUUGCUGGAUCUUGAUUUUGGUGAAUUUAAGGAUAUUAACCCGCCAUCCAAGAGUGUUUGAGGUUCGAUUAUGGUGUUUUGGAUUAAAUUUGAUUUGCCCUUAGGUUUUAGGGCCUGAACUUGAAUUCUUGGAAGUAGUUGUGUAGGCAAACGUUUGCUGUCCAAUUUUUUUAGUGAUCGACUUUGGAGGUUGGAGUUGAGAUCUUGAGGUGGUUUUGGAUCAACCCACUACUAGGAGAAGGAAGUUGUUAGCGCAUAAACCACACAUGAGGAAGGGAAGAAGGUGAAGGAGAUGGAAGCUUUUAGUGUACAACCGAUCUUGAAGGAGAAAGUUUCAAAGAAUGCGGGAAAGGAUGAGGAAGUGAUUGCUAUUAGUGUACCACUGAUCUUGAAGGUGGAUUGUAUAAGUCCCAUGUUCUUCUAUCUUAUUUAGGAAUGAAGAUGUGAACAAGUUUUGUAGCAUGCAAAAAGUGAAGAAUUUAUCAAUGGUGGCUUAUAUCCCUAGUCAAUCUAUUAUUGUAGGUACCUACACUCGUUCAUUGUUGAUUCAAAUAAAGGGUCGAAGUAUAUGUUUGUAGAGCUCGGAACCUUUGUAGUAGAUUAAUGACUUCUGAACACGGUCAUUUACUAUAACCUUCAUGUUCCAGACUAAUUAAUUGUAUAUUUUAUCUAGUGAUCAUUCUGAAUAUUAUACUAUACUCUUUGACGAAUGUAGGGCAAUGGCCAUUUUUCAGUCUAAAA